AUGCUUCCCUACUGGGUCCUUGUGGUCAUCCUGGCUCCCCUGGGAUGGGCCCUGAAACAGUCCCCUGACACAGUGAGCAGAGUGGGGCAGUCUGUCAACCUGAGCUGUUCCCAAAUGGAGACUUCACAUUAUCAGAUGUACUGGUACAAACUGCCUGUGGAGAUGGAGUCCAAGCUUGAAUUGGUUGUUUUUGCACUCAAAGAUGUCAAGAUCCUGCCUCCCUUAAUGACUCUGGCACAUAUUACUGUGCUGAAAGUGAGACACAGUGACUCAGCUGCUGAGAGAGCUAAGCACAAAUCUCCAGUUCACAGAAGUACCUUCCUUCUUCCACAUGCAAACCUGGACUUGGAUUUUUCACAUUCUCUUCCAUUCCCCAUGCCUCGCAAUCAUCUUUUCUUCUCAGCAGUUUAUCCUGGCUCACUUCUUAUUUUCUUUUUCCCACUUUCUCAAGUGAGAAGUGUCUCAAGUGUACCAAACCUUUUUGCCUCUUGGUAUCUUGUUUUCGCUUACCGCUUUUGUCAAUAUCUUCCAGCCCCUCCUCUCACUCUCGUACUUCUUCUUUUCCCUUCUACCACUUUUCCAACCUCUUUCGUGACUUUCUUUCACCACCCUUCCCUACUUUCCCUGCCAUAUUUGCCACCUCCCUUCCCAUAUCUUUUGCCUUCUGGCCUAAUUCACUCCAUACUUUCCCUACAGAAAGGGGGUGUUUGGGUCUGGGUGUUUGGCCACAUAGCCCUUCCCCUCCCACUCAUGCCUCUGCUUUCACAAACUACUCCUUCCUGA
rnacentral:lncRNA from 1 species